rnacentral:lncRNA from 1 species
UUUUGGGAAAUUAAAGAACAUAUGAGGAAAGUAUUUGAGGGAGUUAGAGAUAGACUGGGGAGGAAUGAAGAGAUUAUAUCUAGACUUGAUUUAUUUGGAGAAAGUAAAUGUUGGAAACUCUUUCCGUUCAGUAAGAGCAGAAUGGGGAUGAAGAAGACCGAGUUAAAGCAUUUACAAGAGAUGGCAUACUGGAUUUGUGUGCUAAUUUCCUGGAGAGAUCUACAUUGACCAUUGUAUGUCACUGUCCUUUGAAUUCAGUUUUAGAAAUUACAUCUUAUUUGUAAUUCUAUGUAUUUUACAAAGUUUUCAUUUCUUUAAAAUGUCGCUAUCUAACAACCAGAUAUAUGUAUGUUUUGUUGCAUAAAGACCAUGUCAUAACUUCUUGAACUAUUAACAGCCAACGGCAAUGUCCCUCUGAGCUGUGGACCUCUUUUGUAGAUGAUUCUGGUAAAGACGACAUUUAACAAGACAUGUUGCGAAUUGGAAUGAGAAAUCAUUUGUUUUUACUAUUUUUUUGUUGUACAGUGAUAGGAACUUUAUUACAUGAAGAAAAUAUGAUAUUUUGUCCUUUGCCACUAACAAUAUACUGAAAUUUUAAACAUAAGCUCAGUUGAUCAAACUUGCUAAUUGAUGUAAAAUGAAGAAGUGAUCAAUUGGCAAAUUCAUGGCUAAUUAAUUAUGUAAUUGUUAAAGUCACAGAUCAUACUUCAAGCAUUGAAACACAAUCUCUGAUUAUUUAUGUCAUGAUUAUUUGCAGAUGCUUAAAGCUUGUCGAUGAACCAUUAUCUUUUGAAUGUGUAAUAACAUUCAACUUUAACAUGUCAUUUUGAGCUAUUAAGAAGCUUGUGCUUAUCUAUUUCACUGUUUCUACAGUAAACUGCUUACUUCAAGCAAUUGUAAAGGAUGGAAUGGCCUCUACUCAUUGUCAAUUGUGGGAUCUACAAAAAGAUUUCUAGCAUCCAGCAUUUUCUUGUUCCCAAGG